rnacentral:misc_RNA from 1 species
CGGUCAAGUCAUACCUAUACACACAGCAUACAGUAANGGUAUGUAUAGGGAAUCAGUUAGUAUGUCGAUCUUAAUUAUCAAUACUUGAGUUCAUACAACUAUUUUCUAUAUAGAGAAGUCACCAUCAUUCAUGAAUAGAUGAUCACCAUACUAUAAUNAUUCAUACAUGAUAAAGUUAGCUUGAUAUGCUUAACUAAAUGAUAUUCUUAAAUAGGAUAAUAGAAUUUAUUGAACUUUCUUUUUAUUUCUCUAAUUCGCAAAUGGAUUUUUCUAAUAGAAUCUAUUCCAAAUUCUAUAUUGAAUUUGAUUUCAGAUAUUUUCAAUUUGAUAUGGCUCGGACGAAUAAUCUAAUACAUAGAAAAGAAGAAUAUAUAUGAAUAAUAUAAUAAAGAGAAAAUGCCAAUCUCUUGGUAUUUUCAUUUGAUCAUUAUAUACAUUUUUGAGAUAUUUUGUUUUUUUUAUUUGUUAAUAAUUUAAGGAUAAAUAGUUCACUAAGGAGAAGAUAGAAUCAUAGCAAAUGAAAUUUCUAAUUCAGCUUAGAAAAAAAGAAUGAAUAUCAAGCGUUAUAGUAUGAUUUUGAAUACUCUAAAAAAUGAAUGAGGGAGGCGGGAGAGAGAAAAACUUUUGGAUAUAUUCAUUCCGAUUGAAUUGCAAAUAUAUCAACGAUAAAAUCAAUUCAAUUCUGAAUUGCAAUAAGCGAGCGGGGUGUCUCAAAUAGAGAUGAGUUGCUAGACUACGUCGAAUAAUGAAUUAAUGAUCAAAAACUAAAGAUGAUUAAUAUCAGGAAUCUGUUCAAAGAAGUAAAUGGAUUGCAACGUACCUCGCUAUGUUGGCUGUUGACUCAUGACUCAUCAAACCUGAUAAUGCACGACAAUCUUUAAACAUGUCACUACCCUACGGCCGUAGCGACUACCGAUUUCCUAGAGUGCUUAAAUACAGAUCUGUUCAAGAAGUAAUGGAUUGCGAUGGUAACGUCGACUAUGUUUAGCCUGUAUGAACUGCUAGUGUACUCAAUUCGGAACCCUGAUGAAAUGGCAUCUAGCAAAUCCCUUUUGAAAACAGUGUUCUCAAACUAGAACCCAAAGGAAAAGGAUAGGUGCAGAGACUCAAUGGAAGCUGUUCUAACGAAUCGAAGUAAUAACGAUUAAUCACAGAACCCAUAUUAUAAUAUAGGUUCUUUAUUUUAUUUUUAGAAUGAAAUUAGGAAUGAUUAUGAAAUAGAAAAUUCAUAAUUUUUUUAGAAUUAUUGUGAAUCUAUUCCAAUCGAAUAUUGAGUAAUCAAAUCCUUCAAUUCAUUGUUUUCGAGAUCUUUUAAAAAGUGGAUUAAUCGGACGAGGAUAAAGAGAGAGUCCCAUUCUACAUGUCAAUACUGACAACAAUGAAAUUUCUAGUAAAAGGAAAAUCCGUCGACUUUAUAAGUCGUGAGGGUUCAAGUCCCUCUAUCCCCAAACCCUCUUUUAUUCCCUAACCAUAGUUGUUAUCCUUUUUUUCUUUUAUCAAUGGGUUUAAGAUUCACUAGCUUUCUCAUUCUACUCUUUCACAAAGGAGUGCGACAAGAACUCAAUGAAUCUUAUGCUAUUCAUUAAAUAGAUGAUUUCUUUUUUAUUUCUUUUUUUCUAUUUAUUAGAGUAGAGUAUCGCGCAAGGAAUCUCGAGUAUUUAUUCGAUUUUAUUAAGUAUUACUUAAGUAAGCCAUCCACUACGCUAUAGCAUGUACACAUCCCCAUUUCAUCACUGGUGAUUUAUAUAAGGGUAAAAGAGGGAUGCGUAGCACAGUGAACCCAAGAUACGAUCACCGAGGAUAUCUGGAAGCGACGCAAGACUCAGUAUAUCUAGUAAGCGAUGCGAAGUCUUGCUAAGC